rnacentral:ncRNA from 1 species
GGAUAAGCAGUGUUGUACACCGUGCUCAAUGCUACAAGAAAAAAGGCUAGGUCAGGCUUCGCCCUGACCAAAAUUCCAAGCUGCUAUACCUCUGGCUGCAUUGACUUGUGGUCAGAGUGUAUGGUGAUCAUAGCAAUUGCAAGUAUUGGGCUCGAUAAAUCCUUUGAAGACGACUUAAUUGCAUCCGGGUAUUGUAAGUGUUGAGAGUAGGCUUAGUCUUACGAUCCACUGAGAUUCAUCCCGUGUUGCGCCGAUUUGU